UUCUUUUUCUUUCUAAUUUUCAUUAGAUAGGACAGUGAGAAAUUGAGAGUGGAGAGGGAGACAGAGAAGGGAGAAAAAGAGAGACACAGCCCUGCUUCACCGCUCAUGAAGCCCCCCCACUGCUGGCGGGGACCAGGGGCUUGAACCCGGGAUCUCUUGCUUGGUGAUCUGUUUGCUUAACCCAGGGUGCCACCCGCUGGCCCCCGAAUAUUUCCUGAUGAAGAUGACCUGGUCGUGGAAAAGGCCCAGUGGGACGAUCGUAGAACAGCUCCGUGGGGCCUGCUUGACUCUAGUGACCAGCGAGAACCAGCGCAGGAAAUGAAACACAUUGUAUCGAGUGAGACAGGGAGUCACCACAGCACCAGUCCCCAUCCAUGGAGCUCCCUCCCCCACGCAGUGUGUGGUAUUCCCAUGUGGUGCCAGGGGCUCGAACCUGCAGCCUCAGACGUGCUCUGGGUCCUGGCACGUGCAUGAAACCGCCCUGGCGUGGCCUGGAAGGCCGAUGUUUCCUUGUUCUCCAGAGAAGAGGAGGCAGACGCAGAAUGGAGACACUAUUUCAGCCCCCGGAGCCCCACCUGGUGCCGUCCGUCCACAGUGCUCCCAGGUAUUUGUGGGGCUCAGACGCUGGGUCCUGAGUGUGGGGAAGCGGGCGCUCUACCAGG